GUUAUAGGGUCAAGCGAACAAGUGCAUGUGGUGGAUGCCUUGGCGAUCACAGGCGAUGAAGGAC
rnacentral:rRNA from 9 species